CAAACAACUGGGCAGGCUGAAAAUUGAAACAGUUUCACACCUUCCAGAGGCGUAGCUGGGUCACCAGCGCAGGACGCCAGCUGCUUCAAGCAGCCCACAUGCCGAAAAGCUGAGAAGCUCCCGCUGUGUCCUGACCAAGGUGCUGCUAUGUAAAUGCUGAACAUAUGAGAAGGAUGGUUUGAGCAUGCAUUUUUAACAUCGCUGUGUACCAAGGGACCAGUGAAACUACCUAAACCACAGGCAUUCCUCUUGCUACAAACUAACAGUUCUCAAAAGCAAUGCAGAUUUUUCCAAGCCCUCCUGGAGUUGCCUAUAACCAGUGCAACAGCAGAUUUAUUCAGUGUUCAUUCUGGUCCUUCUAUUGGAUACAUCAAGUGGAGCAGCUCAUUUCAGGAGCCAAAAAGUAUUCUGGAACAGAUGUAGCGAAUGAAGACUUAACAAUGAUGUACACAGCACAGAAAAAUAAGAGUUCCUUUCAGUUUCCUGGACAAAAUGGGAAGAUACUUUGGCACGUGUACUAAGGAUGGUACUGAAACUCUGGAAGAAAAUCACAAUAGAAAUUUCCUCCUCAGAACAAGAAUCUCCUUUUUUGCCUUUUACUAAUUUAAGAGAACAUUCAUUUAACUCAGGGAAGUGUAAUUACAAGUAUUACUCAGUUUCUUGCAAUCCCUCCUCCACGUUUUAAGAAAUUUUAUCUUAAGAGAUGUACGUAGCUGGCAGUUGGACUAGAUAAUCAUUGUAGGUCCCUUCCAACUGAAAUGUUCUAUUUUACUCUACACAAGGCUUUACAGUCACCCACAUAAGAGCACCUUCUGAGGCAGAAGAGGCGAAAGAGCACUUGGAACCUUCUAUUCCUUCCCCUGAUCUGAAUCAUAUUUCAGUGAUCUGCAUCGCUGUUGGAACCCAACACAAGGAAAAAAAAGCCCAGAGAAACUGGAAGGCAUUCUGAGGCAACAAUAAGCUCACUGUUCACCUUAGUAUCAACCACAACUAAAAAAGCCCAAAUACACUGCAAGGAGCAAGAAAAAAAUUUUUCCUGUUUUAUGUAUAUGUAUAUAUAUAUUACACACAUAUAUAUCUAUAUUAACUAUUAAAAGAUUUAUCUUCAUUUCGAAAAGUGACAUUUUCCUGAGCCAUAACGGGUAAGUGGGAGAAGAAAUAACUAACUCUGAAGAGUCAUUGAAAACACCAACAUUAGCCACCUUAACUAUAUGAUAAUGAAUCGGAAGUCCUGUUGAGGAAAUAAGUACAGAAGAACACACGGCGUGCAUAGAUACAAUACUGAUGUUUGCUGAUGUAUUCAUCCUAAUUUUCUAUUAUUUUGUCUUUCACUAUAUGCCAAGUGUAAUCUCUGUAGUACAAAUGAGGAUUUAAAAGAAAGUGCCUGCUGAGAUUUAAGAAUCAGUGCUUAUAAUCAGACCGUAAACAAUGAAAAAACCUUAAGCCUGUAACUUAAAUUACAAGUAAUAUAAGCUUUGUAUUCUGAAACUCCAAAUUAAAGUAUUAUUGUACUAUUGAAAAGUGUUUUAGUGAGGUAGGGAGCUAAAAGACAAAAGAAUAAAAUUCCACCAUGUGGUUUGUGCAUCCAAAUAGUUCCAUAUCCACUGAAGAAAAACUGUUAGAGAUUUCUUAAAUCUGUUAAAAGUUGCUCACUGCCGCUUUAAACUUUAGUGAUUAAAAUCAUAUUUUGUACUUCCUUUUUUUAUAAUCUAAUUUUUUACUUCAUUACCCACUUGUCUCAAAACAAAGAAGGGCUUAGAGAACAGUUUUACUAAAGCACUGUCUGGUAUGCUAAAGGUAUUGUGUCAUCUUUCCGGAUGUCUGAAGUGGUCAAGGCAAACAAGAACCAUGCCUGAUGCUGAACAGCUCUGUCAUGUAAUGAUGAGUUUCAAGAAGAGAUUCAACUUGUCAAGAGCCACUUUCUGGGGGCAGAUCAAAAUAUGAAAUGAAAUUCCCCAAGAGCUCUUUAAAUUAAAUCCUGUUAUGUUGAUUUCUGUAAUUUUCAUAGAGUUAGAACUGGAUUCACUGCAACUUUAUGUAAGAGGUUUCUGAAAUAUCAUCUAGAUCUCACUGGACUACAAAAAGCACAUUGUAAGUGUUAACAGCUUACACACUCACCUCAUC